AUUGAACGCUGGCGGCAGGCCUAACACAUGCAAGUCGAGCGGAUGACGGGAGCUUGCUCCUUGAUUCAGCGGCGGACGGGUGAGUAAUGCCUAGGAAUCUGCCUGGUAAUGGGGGACAACGUUUCGAAAGGAACGCUAAUACCGCAUACGUCCUACGGGAGAAAGUGGGGGAUCUUCGGACCUCACGCUAUCAGAUGAGCCUAGGUCGGAUUAGCUAGUUGGUGAGGUAAAGGCUCACCAAGGCGACGAUCCGUAACUGGUCUGAGAGGAUGAUCAGUCACACUGGAACUGAGACACGGGCCAGACUCCUACGGGAGGCAGCAGUGGGGAAUAUUGGACAAUGGGCGAAAGCCUGAUCCAGCCAUGCCGCGUGUGUGAAGAAGGUCUUCGGAUUGUAAAGCUCUUUAAGUUGGGAGGAAGGGCAGUAAGUUAAUACCUUGCUGUUUUGACGUUACCGACAGAAUAAGCACCGGCUAACUCUGUGCCAGCAGCCGCCGUAAAAC
rnacentral:rRNA from 1 species